GACGAACGCUGGCGGCGCGCUUAACACAUGCAAGUCGAACGGAAAGGCCUGCUUUCCCUUGUGGAUUGCGGGUACUCGAGUGGCGAACGGGUGAGUAACACGUGAGUGAUCUGCCCCCAACUUGGGUAUAAGCCUGGGAAACUGGGUCUAAUUCCCGAUAGGACUGCAGGGUGGUGCCUGUGGUGGAAAACGAUUUUCUAGUGGUUGGGGAUGAGCUCGCGGCCUAUCAGCUUGUUGGUGGGGUAAUGGCCUACCAAGGCGGCGACGGGUAGCCGGCCUGAGAGGGUGGACGGCCACAUUGGGACUGAGAUACGGCCCAGACUCCUACGGGAGGCAGCAGUGGGGAAUAUAGCACAAUGGGCGGAAGCCUGAUGCAGCGACGCCGCGUGGGGGAUGACGGCCUUCGGGUUGUAAACUCCUUUCGACCGCGAGGAAGCCACCUGGUUGGAAGGGUGGUGACGGUAGUGGUAGAAGAAGCACCGGCUAACUACGUG
rnacentral:rRNA from 1 species